rnacentral:rRNA from 1 species
CCUACGGGUGGCAGCAGUCGAGAAUCAUUCACAAUGGGGGAAACCCUGAUGGUGCGACGCCGCGUGGGGGAAUGAAGGUCUUCGGAUUGUAAACCCCUGUCAUGUGGGAGCAAAUUAAAAAGAUAGUACCACAAGAGGAAGAGACGGCUAACUCUGUGCCAGCAGCCGCGGUAAUACAGAGGUCUCAAGCGUUGUUCGGAAUCACUGGGCGUAAGGCGUGCGUAGGCGGUUUCGUAAGUCGUGUGUGAAAGGCGCGGGCUCAACCCGCGGACGGCACAUGAUACUGCGAGACUAGAGUAAUGGAGGGGGAACCGGAAUUCUCGGUGUAGCAGUGAAAUGCGUAGAUAUCGAGAGGAACACUCGUGGCGAAGGCGGGUUCCUGGACAUUAACUGACGCUGAGGCACGAAGGCCAGGGGAGCGAAAGGGAUUAGAUACCCGAGUAGUC